CCUACGGGAGGCAGCAGUGGGGAAUAUUGGGCAAUGGGCGCAAGCCUGACCCAGCAACGCCGCGUGAAGGAAGAAGGCUUUCGGGUUGUAAACUUCUUUUCUCAGGGACGAAGCAAGUGACGGUACCUGAGGAAUAAGCCACGGCUAACUACGUGCCAGCAGCCGCGGUAAUACGUAGGUGGCAAGCGUUAUCCGGAAUUACUGGGUGUAAAGGGCGUGUAGGGGGGAAAGCAAGUCUGAUGUGAAAACCAUGGGACCAAACUGUGGCCUGCAUUUGAAACGGGUGUUCUUGAGUACUGGAGAGGAAGACGGAAUUCGUAGUGUAGCGGUGAAAUGCGUAGAUAUUAGGAGGAACACCGGUGGCGAAGGCGGCAUGCUUGCCCGCAACUGACGCUGAGGCGCGAAAGCGUGGGGAGCAAACAGGAUUAGAUACCCUGGUAGUC
rnacentral:rRNA from 1 species